rnacentral:lncRNA from 1 species
AGCCUGAACUGUCAGAAGGUGACAGCCGGCAGAAAGUUCCUGCCCUGGGGUCACAGCUGGAUUCCGGCAACUUGCUCCUUGAUUUACCAGUAAAACUAAUAAUAAUAGAUGGAUGUUCUGCUCUAUGUUUGUCCACAAAAGAAUUCACGACUCUGGACCUACAGUACUCUUCAGCAAAGCAGGAGGGGUGUAUUCCUGCCUGCAGACUUUGGGAAAUCACCACAGGGAGUCAGACUACUGAAGCACAGUCAAGCAGUAAAUCUACCAGCAACUUUUGCUGUCUUCAGAUACAAAUUCACGGGGAAGGUAGAGAGCAGUUCAACCAGAGUGUUCUGCAAUUCAAAGCUGGUUCCGCAGUCUCACAGCAUGAUUGCACUUACGGUGCAAUGGAGUCAUCUUGUAUUUAUCAGGAGUGAACUACUGCCAGCAGCUGAAAGGAGCCUGUGCCUUCAAGGAAGCCUGUUUUAG